rnacentral:rRNA from 1 species
UCUAUCCGCCCGGGUACUACAAGCAUUAGCUUAAAACCCAAAGGACUUGGCGGUGCUUUAGACCCACCUAGAGGAGCCUGUCCUAGAACCGAUACCCCCCGUUCAACCUCACCACUUCUGGCUUAAUAUUCCGCCUGUAUACCUCCGUCGUCAGCUUACCCCGUGAGGGAGUCAUAGUAAGCUAAAUUGGUACGCCCCCCAAAACGUCAGGUCAAGGUGCAGCGCACGAAGUGUGGAAGANAUGGGCUACAUUUUCUGGUCCAGAAAAUUACGAAGGGGGAAAAUGAAAAACCCCCUGAAGGAGGAUUUAGCAGUAAGCAAGGAAUAGAGUGCCCUGCUG